rnacentral:tRNA from 1 species
GGGAGGGUGGUCUAGCUUGGUAUGAUACAUAAUUUGUCAUUCAGCCAAAUUAACCGAAUCGGCUGGGGAAGUCCAAGCAUUCGCUUGGAUUACAGAGGCCGAGUGGCCGGGGGUUCGAAUCCCCCCUCUCCCA